rnacentral:rRNA from 1 species
AGAGUUUGAUCCUGGCUCAGAAUCAACGCUGGCGGCGUGCUUCAGACAUGCAAGUCGAACGCGAAAGUUUCCUUCGGGAAGCGAGUAGAGUGGCGCACGGGUGAGUAACACGUAAGUAAUCUACCCUCGGGUGGGGAAUAACAUCGGGAAACCGAUGCUAAUACCGCAUAAUGCAGCGGCUCCUUAUGGAGACAGUUGUUAAAGUAUUUAUAUGCCUGGGGAGGAGCUUGCGGCAGAUUAGCUAGUUGGUAAGGUAAUGGCUUACCAAGGCUACGAUCUGUAGCCGACCUGAGAGGGUGGUCGGUCACACUGACACUGAAUAACGGGUCAGACUCCUACGGGAGGCAGCAGUCGGGAAUUUUGGGCAAUGGGCGAAAGCCUGACCCAGCAACGCCGCGUGAAGGAUGAAGUCUUUCGGGAUGUAAACUUCGUAAGAAUAGGAAGAAUAAAUGACGGUACUAUUUGUAAGGUCCGGCUAACUACGUGCCAGCAGCCGCGGUAAUACGUAGGGACCAAGCGUUGUUCGGAUUUACUGGGCGUAAAGGGCGCGUAGGCGGCGUGACAAGUCACUUGUGAAAUCUCCGAGCUUAACUCGGAACGGUCAAGUGAUACUGUUAUGCUAGAGUACAGAAGGGGUAAUCGGAAUUCUCGGUGUAGCGGUGAAAUGCGUAGAUAUCGAGAGGAACACCAGAGGCGAAGGCGGAUUACUAGGCUGAUACUGACGCUGAGGCGCGAAAGCUAGGGUAGCAAACGGGAUUAGAUACCCCGGUAGUCCUAGCCCUAAACGAUGAAUGCUUGGUGUCUGGGGUUUUAAUACUCUGGGUGCCGUCGCUAACGUUUUAAGCA